GCCGAGCUGGUGAAAUUGGUAUACACACAGGUUUUAGAGAUCUGUUCCUUAUGGAAUGGGGGUUCAACUCCCCCGCUCGGUA
rnacentral:tRNA from 1 species